rfam:Parcubacteria (Magasanikbacteria) bacterium GW2011_GWA2_56_11 TY92_C0016, whole genome shotgun sequence.
GCGCCCGUCGUUCAAUGGAUAGGACAAGAGUUUGCGGAACUCUAGAUCUAAGUUCGAUUCUUAGCGGGCGCA